rnacentral:sRNA from 1 species
UCUCAUACUGCUGACUCAUGUACUGGACGGGGCCCGAGGAGGUGGUGAGCAUGCUGACCAGAGCAUGUAUAGAUAGCUCGAGGGAGACAGGAAGGUAGAAGGGUGGCGAGAGAGAGACCGAAGGACGAAGAGAGAGGUCGAGAAACCAAAAAGAAUUUAGACGAUCGGCCGCGGUCGUCGGAGGUGGAGGUGCUUUGGUUCGGCGGCCGAGAGAGGUGGAGGUUUCGGGUGUCACUUCUGCAUAGCGUCGUGACACCAUAGAAUGAGCUUACAGCUCCCUCAAGCACGAGCAGUACAGAAAGGAUAUCCGACAGAGGGAAGAGAAGAUGUGCUCACUUUGCCGGUUCCUAGGAAUCCGGAUCAGGUUCAUGGACUGCUUUUCCGGUACCUUCAACGUCAGAAUGAUUUUAAAAAUUAAGACUGCAAAGAUUGCAUGGAAGCCAAGAGAUCAUCCGAAGCAAAGUCCGGAUUAUCUACCAAUUUCCCAAUAGACGAAUUCCCAAUAGACGAAUUCCCAAUAGACGAAUGAGACAAACAUUUCAGCUUUAUCUUCCAUAAGCUAAGACAAUACAGAGACCUGAUCUCACUAUCGUGAAGAAGGAUAAUAUCCAACUCGAAAUCAAAAGAAGCACUUUCAAGCAUUUGUUUCUUCGUUACGAACUGUCCGUUACCAGUUAGUACAGCAGUUGAGCAACCUGGGUUCCUUGAUCCACGCCUGCUAGGAAAGGGAUCUCAUCCGAGCAGCCUUCGAGACAAUCGAUGCGGGAGCUUUGGUUGUUCAGAGACCGCGGUUCUUUUACCGCCUGAUGUUUACCCAUCAACGAUGAUGGUCUCUCAACAGUAACGUCAAUGAUCCGGAAUUCGACCUCUUUAUCCUCCUCCGAUUUACACGAUACUCGAAAAAGACGACUCUUGAGUUACUUCCUCUAAAAGAAUUGCUCCACAUGAAAAAGCGACACUCUUCUGCCCGAAUUAGAAGGAUAGCAUGAUUUCAACCUAGAUCAUGAACGAUGGUAUGAGGGAUGAGAUAACGGGAUAUGAUAGCGUAGCGGAUAGAAGUGCUCAGAUUUUACAGGAGUGGGGCCGAAACCUGGAGCAGAAAGCCACUUCCAAAGACUUGAGCAUCUAACUGCCCGACAUCCUCAACAGCAAAUCUCUCUCCCGAACGGACGCUAUUGUGACCAAUACCAUCAUCCAGCAGUACUUCCAGGGCCAUAAAACUCUACUUUCUGCCAUUCAGAGACUUUUGGUGUCUGAGAGGGAUCAUGGGGGAUAUGGGCAGGAUAAACCUUGCCCUUACUGCAUGGCCAACCAUGGGUACUAUAUCCACAAAUCCCAGGCUGUGGAGAGGGCAGAGUUUGGGAGAAGUCAGGGGAUUUCAGGAAGUGGUGUAGUUUACUGGAUUAUACAAAUGCUGGUGUAUGCAAGUAUUGC